UUGAAUUGAUUUAAAACCUUAUCUUUGAGUAGAUCUCAAACUUUAUUUUGAAUAGAUUUCAGACUCUCCUUUUUUGCUUUAAUAUAUUAUGAGCUUAUUAAAUGUGUGGGUUUCCUUCUAUUUAGGUGAUAUUCUUGACAUAAGUGAACAUGGGGAAGAUCAAGCUAGCGUCUCCAGACUGGGAUCUAACCCAAUAGCUUCUUCCCCAAAGAUGAGCCCCUCCACACAUGACUCUUUGUUUCCAGAUUUUGCACAUGACGAUAACUACAUACCCAUCCUUGAUGCUAAUCCUCCCAUAGAAAGCCCAUUUAAAAAAAAAGCUUCAAAGUCACCACGAGUCAUCCCUUUUCCUCAACAUGCAAAAGAAGACUCUACUCCAAAAGCUAUGGGGGUUGCAUCUAUGAGCUCAUCUCAUCCUCAACUUGUUAGAAAAGACAAUGGCUUGGAAUCUUUUUGGGUGAUAUUCUUGACAUAAGUGAACAUGGGGAAGAUCAAGCUAGCGUCUCCAGACCGGGAUCUAACCCAAUAGCUUCUUCCCCAAAGAUGAGCCCCUCCACACAUGACUCUUUGUUUUCAAAUUCAUAGAAAGCCCAUUUCAAAAGAAGCUUCAAAGUCACCACGAGUCAUCCCUUCUCCUCAACAUGCAAAAGAAGACUCUAGUACAAAAGCAUUGGGGGUUGCAUCUAUGAGCUCAUCUCAUCCUCAACUUGUUAGAAAAGACAAUGGCUUGGAAUCUUUUUGGGUAAAUGUGCUCAUUGAAAGGGUGAAAUCAUCAUGCCCUCAUGAACAUGAAUCUUUGAGAGAGAAAACUACAAAAUUGCACAAAAACUUGAUGACACAUGGAACUGACAUUUCAAUCACAAGGGACAAUAUAUAUGAAGUACUUGAUAUAGCGAAGAUUGCCCAUGACACAAAUAAUGGAGGAAACGACCUAAACUCAGUCGAAAAGGAGGAAUUGAUGGCGAAAGAGAAAAGGCUAAAGAAAACUAAAUUGUCUCUCACAGCAAUGUCCCAACAUAUGGAUGAGGCUAAUAUGGAGCUCAUGCAAAUAAGAUAGAAAUUGGAAGAAUGGAGAGCCCAAGGGGAAGAAUUGAAAGCGCAAGAAAAAGAAAAGAACAAAUUAUUUCCAUAGAAAUGGGACUAUUAUCUGAUGCCUCUCCCAUUGAAGAAGUGAACAAAUCCCUCGUUGAUUUUCAUCAAAAAAUUGAAGCACUUGGAGGAAGUGGCGAUAAAUUACAACCCUCAUUGUCAUCUAAGGAGGCCCUCGCCAACUUUGAGAGAGCGAAAGCUCAACUUUAGGCUUAGCUUAUUUUUAUCUUCAAAUUUAGCUUAGUUUACUUCCAUUGCUUAGUUUUAGGCCCUAGCUA